GGAUGGACUCGCGGCCUAUCAGCUUGUUGGUGGGGUAAUGGCCUACCAAGGCGACGACGGGUAGCCGGCCUGAGAGGGUGACCGGCCACACUGGGACUGAGACACGGCCCAGACUCCUACGGGAGGCAGCAGUGGGGAAUAUUGCACAAUGGGCGCAAGCCUGAUGCAGCGACGCCGCGUGAGGGAUGACGGCCUUCGGGUUGUAAACCUCUUUCAGCAGGGAAGAAGCGGAAGUGACGGUACCUGCAGAAGAAGCGCCGGCUAACUACGUGCCAGCAGCCGCGGUAAUACGUAGGGCGCAAGCGUUGUCCGGAAUUAUUGGGCGUAAAGAGCUCGUAGGCGGUUUGUCGCGUCUGCUGUGAAAGCCCGGGGCUCAACCCCGGGUCUGCAGUGGGUACGGGCAGACUGGAGUGCAGUAGGGGAGACUGGAAUUCCUGGUGUAGCGGUGAAAUGCGCAGAUAUCAGGAGGAACACCGAUGGCGAAGGCAGGUCUCUGGGCUGUAACUGACGCUGAGGAGCGAAAGCAUGGGGAGCGAACAGGAUUAGAUACCCUGGUAGUCCAUGCCGUAAACGUUGGGCACUAGGUGUGGGGGACAUUCCACGUUUUCCGCGCCGUAGCUAACGCAUUAAGUGCCCCGCCUGGGGAGUACGGCCGCAAGGCUAAAACUCAAAGGAAUUGACGGGGGCCCGCACAAGCGGCGGAGCAUGCGGAUUAAUUCGAUGCAACGCGAAGAACCUUACCAAGGCUUGACAUGGGCCGGAUCGCCGCAGAAAUGCGGUUUCCCUUCGGGGCCGGUUCACAGGUGGUGCAUGGUUGUCGUCAGCUCGUGUCGUGAGAUGUUGGGUUAAGUCCCGCAACGAGCGCAACCCUCGUUCUAUGUUGCCAGCGGUUCGGCCGGGGACUCAUAGGAGACUGCCGGGGUCAACUCGGAGGAAGGUGGGGACGACGUCAAAUCAUCAUGCCCCUUAUGUCUUGGGCUUCACGCAUGCUACAAUGGCCGGUACAAAGGGUUGCGAUACUGUGAGGUGGAGCUAAUCCCAAAAAGCCGGUCUCAGUUCGGAUUGAGGUCUGCAACUCGACCUCAUGAAGUCGGAGUCGCUAGUAAUCGCAGAUCAGCAACGCUGCGGUGAAUACGUUCCCGG
rnacentral:rRNA from 1 species